UUAUGGCUCAGGAUGAACGCUAGCUACAGGCUAACACAUGCAAGUCGAGGGGCAGCAUGUUGGUUGCUUGCAACCAAUGAUGGCGACCGGCGCACGGGUGAGUAACGCGUAUCCAACCUUCCCCUUAGUAGGGCAUAGCCCGGCGAAAGUCGGAUUAAUACCCUAUGUUCUUCGUAGAUGACAUCUGAAAUGAAGCAAAGGUUUACCGCUAAGGGAUGGGGAUGCGUCUGAUUAGGCAGUCGGCGGGUAACGGCCCACCGAGCCGACGAUCAGUAGGGGUUCUGAGAGGAAGGUCCCCCACAUUGGAACUGAGACACGGUCCAAACUCCUACGGGAGGCAGCAGUGAGGAAUAUUGGUCAAUGGGCGAGAGCCUGAACCAGCCAAGUAGCGUGCAGGAAGACGGCCCUAUGGGUUGUAAACUGCUUUUAUGCGGGGAUAAAGGUCGCCCACGUGUGGGUGUUUGUAGGUACCGCAUGAAUAAGGAAACCGGCUAAUUCCGUGCCAGCAGCAGC
rnacentral:rRNA from 1 species